UUGCAAACUUCAUCACUAGCUCUGCAUGAUGUGGCGCAAAAGCUAAGGGAACCAGGUUGCUCAAUUAAAUUAAUUGUAAUGACAGGAACACAUUAGCCUCAGAAGCUAUUAAUUGAGGUGCUCCAUUUUUUUUAAUAUACUG
rnacentral:snoRNA from 1 species